CACAUUUUUGUACUAUAUGGUUUAGAAUGUUGCAUGCAUGCAGAUAGAAAAAUUUCGGAUGUCUGAUAAACGUAUGUAAUAUUGGCUUAUUGCUUACCAACAAGGGUAACAAGAUCUUGAGCGCUUAGACCAACAUCUGCAAAUUUUUUCUUCUGGACCGCGACUGAGUCUGUGAAACUCGGCAAAUUGGCGGUGUCGGACGCCAAUGACACUCGUCCGUCUCUCCGGCCAGUAGGCACGCGAUAAGUCAGUGCACCGACCUGCAUGUGAAAACAUAAGAACAAUGAGAUGCUGAUAUAACAAUGAUCCUACUUCGAAAUAGCAUAAAUUAUUUGAAUUUUUUGGUUAAAAUCAUAUAUAGCACAUUCGAAACAUUUAUCUUACUUCUACUGUGGCAUCACGAGCAGCAAGAGCAAGAAUAUCAGCACACGACACGACUCCGGGGCAUGCUGCCUCUAGCUGUGUUUUGGCAUCCUCAAUCACUUCAUAUCCUCUCAGCAGAAGAUUUGGCCUAGCGGUUUUCUCAGCAUUGCUGCCAUCGAUAAGAAUCGAAGCAUCGCAACCAUGAACGAAGCAAUCAUGGAAGACCAUUCUGAGCAGUCCGGGGGCAACAGUGGAAUCGGAGUUAACAUGUUUCUUAACGGUGGCUUGAACGAUGGAUUCCGCUCUGGGACAAGAGGUGGAAUAGAAGCCGACCCUAGUCUGAGCUAGAGCUAAGGGUGUGGCGACUAGAAGAACAAAUAGAAUAGAGAGUUUGCUAAGGAAAGAAUCCAUUUGAGUUUGUUAUGUGUUGUUAUAAAUUGAUUGUGUGUUUAGAGGAAACGAAGGUGGUGUAUUUAUAGGGACAUAAAAGUGCUAAAAUGGGCUAAACGUGUGGAGACCAGAGAGAACCAGGGUCAAUGAAAAAUACGUGGCAACGGAUUGGAAAAGUUGUCCACUGGUGAGUUGUAGUCCACUCUCGGGCUGCCCAAGUUGUUUGAUUCGUUGAUUGAUAGAAGAGUCAAAUGAAUGUUCAUACAUGCGGUUGCAUAGUUUAAGUUCAAUUUAUGUCAGAUUUUCUCAGACACGUACUCAGUGGAUUAAUAUUUUGGCAUUUACCUCAUAUAUACAUAAAAGUUUGCUCAGAAACUAAUUCCUUCUUGUAAAUUAUAGAGUAAUAAUUAUUGAUUAGAUAUUCAAAAUUCCAACAAUUAUGGACUUACUCGAAAUUCAUUUUACGGUCUUAAAUCAUCGUACAUGCAGUAUUCUAAAAAUCCCCGAUUUAACCGAUAAAUCCCCUGCAAGGUCGGCCACCGAUUCGAUUUUUUAAAUCCGAUUAAUCCUUAUAUAUAUUCCUUAAUCGAAGUAUAUAUGAUAAAUUAUUAAAAUUAAAAUACUAUAUUACUUUAAGUAUGGUUUAUUAUAGAGUUUAUGAAUAUGGUAAAGAUAUUAGUUACUAAAUAGCUAAUAUAAUAAUAACUAAAUAUUAAAUAAUAUUUUAAUAUAAAAACAAAACCGAUUUUCACUCCGAUUAAUCCUUGCGAUUAAUCUCCGAUUUCCGAUUAAUCCCUGAAUCGGUAGCUCAACCGAUUAAGUCCGAUUCUCGAUUUCUGUAACACUGCAUACAUGUAUAAAUAAUAUCUCUAUCAUUUUUUUUUUAAUUUAUACUCAUUUUAUUCUAUUACAUCCACUCCAACUAAACACAACAUAAUUGUGUGUUUGUGUGUAAGCCUAAUAUUACAACUCUUGAAACAUAAUUUGAAAUUAGUUUUACAAAACUAUAUUUGAAAUGUUGUAAAUCAUUGUGCUUGCGGAAAAUGGUGAAGUGGGAACCGGAAAAGAAGCUUAAAUAAGUGUGAAACGCAUACGCAGGCGAAUACCUUGAUGUUACGUUCUAUCAAGGAAACUAAAGUAAUGGCGAAGCUGUUGCAAACUUAAUUUUGUGUGGAGUAUUAGUACUCCAAAUGGAUAGCGUAAACAUGUUUUCUAUUACAAAGUUGUUAGGGUGUCAAAUACUCCGCUAACACUGACAUGCAUGCAUUCCAUGAUUAAAAAACUAAAAAUUACUAAAAGAGAAGGUGGAAACUAUUGACUCGGGGUUCAGCAAAAGUUUUCAAAAGAGUCAAAGCAAUGCGUGUGGGGUCGCGAAUAACUUACUCUGCAUUAUCAUGAAACUUCCUGCACUAGUAUUUAACUAUUCUUUGUCAAGCCUUCUACUUUACUCCCUCAAUUUGUUUUAUUUAACAUUUUAAUUUUUCACACGUAUUUUCUGGUGAAGUGAUCUGAUAAUAUAAUUAUUUUUAUUAUAUUUUUGCCAAUUAUGAUAUUGAUUAUAUAUUUUUAUUCUGAAAAUUAAAAUUUUGAAUUAUUUUUAGUUAUCUAGUCAGAAUAUUUAAAAAUAUGUAUUAGAAACCAAACGUCGAAUAAAAUAAUAAGAUCGAGCUAUAUGUCUAUCAGGGAGGCAAAAACCGCAUGCUGUAUAUGACUGUUCUCAAAAUCUACGUGCCGUGAUAAUCAAAUAGCGGUUUCGUAAAAGAGUGUGAGAAUAAAUUAAAGAGUUUAAGAAGUAAUUAUUCCAGUUAGUUUUCGAUACCUCUUGUGCAAAAAUACAAAUUUUUGCAUAAAACACAGAACUCCUCAUAUUUAAUUUAGAUGGAAUUAAAACACAAAAUAUAUUGUCUUUAAAUGAUUCUACUGAAUAUAUUUUUAAUCAUCGACAGAUUUUGGGAGGACAAAUUUCAAUCUGAACCCUGCAUCAUUCUUUUGAUCACAAAAGAUAUUAAUCAAAAACUUGUCUUCGUCUUCUCUGUUCAUAAGUCAGCUUUUACGCAACAGCUAUUUCAUUAAAGUUUUCUAAAGAUUAUUCAUGUUCGAUAGAAAAUUAUUGUCAGACAUUUUAAUUCACAAAUUAUAUUUCAAAAAUAUUACUAUUUCAUUUGAAAAUUUUAAAAUGUUAUAUAUAUAUUUCACCUUAAAUAUUUUAUUUGCUGAGUUUUGCAGGACAUCUUAUUCACGAUUACAUAUUUUUCUACUCCAUCACAUGGUUUUUUUGCUUACUUUUUAGUUAAACCAGUCAUUGUGUCCGACAGCAAAACCAACACGGACUAUAGGUAUCGAGGACGAUUUCUCUCUGAUGCUAUAGGUAUAUUAUUUGUGUGUAUGGUAGAAUGUAUAUCUAUUAUUUUUUUUUGUCACUUUAUAUGGCAAUUUUUCUUAGCUGUGAUAAUAGAUGAAAACAUGAGCUGAGUUGCUUUUGAGUUUUGACAUAUAAUGUUCAUGGAGAGUUUCAUGUUAAAUGCCUAAAAAAUGUUUACGGAGUAAGGCUGACAGACUAUAUGCACGUAGUAUGAAAAAGUAAGGGGCGACGGGCGUCAUCAGCUCACCUUCACUACAAUAAAAUCGGGUACUUACGACAGAAAUUCGUAUCUAAAAAACAGCGCCGUCCUUGGAUCCGGCACUUCUCCCUUAUUUUUCAUUUGAAAAAAUAUUUAUAAAAAACUUAUGACAUCGUACUCUAGUAUUAUAAUUAUUUGAUUUUUUCAAUUGAAAAAAUAUUAAAAUAUAUAAAAAGCUUACAACGGAUUCGUUUUUCGUCGUAACAAUUUAAGACGGAACUCUACUAAUCCAUAGUAACUUUAUACGCGUGGUCCCUCAUAAGUUAUCUGUUACUAUAACUUAUAAAUGACUUUAUUUGUUGUAGCGCUUGUCGUAUACCCCGGCCUGGUAUAAUUGGCCCCAUCUCCUUCAUUCUAUGCACCACCGUAUAUUUGACUGAACAGACACAUUGCAUCACCAGAUGCCCCACCAUUCAUGAAAUCCCAGUUUUAGUAGAAUAGCACUCAAAUAAGUGAAUAACUCCACUCAAUCUUGUCAUAGCCUUAGCCAUGUCCAACUUAAACGCCAUAAACCCCUCCUUUCCUGUUCUCUUUAGUUUGUGAUAGUGCAUGACUUCAUAACUUAUAAUUAGAAUAUCUAUCUAGGGUUAAAUUUGUAGUGAUAAAUUAAAAUUAAUUUUUUAAUUAAACCGAUCGAUCACAAAAUUAUAAUGUCUUUUCAUUAUAUUUUAUUUUAUAUCAAUUUUUCAGUAUUUGAAUAUCAAAUUCUUAAAAUCAAAAUUAUUUUAAUUUGUAUAUAUCGAUAUAUACAGAAAUCAAUGAUUACUGGGUUAGUCAUUGAUAUUAUAAGAUUAAAAAAAAAUAUCGUAUACUAUUGGGUUUAUUUCCAUCGCCAUUUUUAGGGCAAAGCGAUUGGAGUGUAGGAAGGAACGAGGGAUCGAUGGUAGGAUCAGCACCCCCGGAGUUUGUGAAGUUGUAUAAUCUGUAGCUCACGAAUUGGCAAGCCACUGUUCCAAUAGUGUGUCCUCCUGCAACACAUUUUUGUACUAUAUGGUUUAGAAUGUUGCAUGCAUGCAGAUAGAAAAAUUUCGGAUGUCUAUAAACGUAUGUAAUAUUGGCUUAUUGCUUACCAACAAGAGUUACAAGAUCUUGAGCGCUAAGACCAACAUCUGCAAAUUUUUUCUUCUGGACCGCGACUGAGUCUGUGAAACUCGGCAAAUUGGCGGUGUCGGACGCCAAUGACACUCGUCCAUCUCUCCGGCCAGUAGGCACGCGAUAAGUCAGUGCACCGACCUGCAUGUGAAACAUGGGAACAAUGAGAACUGAUAUAACAAUGAUCCUAUUAUGCUGCAGAAAUAUUUGAAUUAUUUUCUUAAAACCGCGAAUAUAGCACAUUCGAAACAUUUAUCGUACUUCGACUGUGGCAUCACGAGCAGCCAGAGCAAGAAUAUCAGCACAAGACACGACUCCGGGGCAUGCUGCCUCUAGCUGUGUUUUGGCAUCCUGAAUGACUUCAUAUCCUCUUAACAAAAGAUUUGGCCUAGCUGUUUUCUCAGCAUUGCUGCCAUCGAUAAGAAUCGAUGCAUCGCAGCCAUGAACGAAGCAAUCGUGGAAGACCAUUCUGAGCAAUCCUGGGGCAACAGUGGAAUCGGAGUUAACAUGUUUUUUAACGGUGGCUUGAACGAUGGAUUCCGCUCUGGGACAAGAGGUGGAAUAGAAGCCGACCCUAGUCUGAGCUAGAGCUAAGGGUGUGGCGAGUAGAAGAACAAAUAGAAUAGAGAGUUUGCUAAGGAAAGAAUCCAUUUGAGUUUGUAAUGUGUUGUUGUUAUAUAUAAGUUGAUUGUGAGUUUAAAGGAAACGAAGGUAAAAUAAUAGUACUUUUGAUGAUGUGGCAUGACAUGGACCGGCACUCUCGUUAGCACCCCCAUUGGAGAUGUUGGAGUGCUAUUGGGGUGCCAAGUGAGUUGGCUUUGGGGUGCCAAAAGUUAGCAACCCAUAAAGUAGGGUGCCAACUUCUUUUGUAGUCCCAAUAAUACAUAAAAUAUAGAUUUGUGGUCCCCAAUAAUACAUAGAAUAUUAUCUCUAUUAAUAAAGUUGGCAUUUUGGAGUGCCAACCAUUGUAGUGUAUUUUGAAAUAAGGGUGCUAGAAAUGAUUUGGAAGAAUGAGAAUAUAAAAAAUAAUAUUUUGAGUUAUGUGUCAAAAUUGACACCCAUCGAAGGGUGCCAACCAUCGGAGAUGCUCUAAUUAAGACACCAUAUGGUUGGGCUUUUAACACACUUGUCCGGCUUGCUGCCUUCACCCAACAAACUGACCUAUUUAUCACGCAUCACAAUUCGAAUGCAAUCUAGACAUCAUAUUUUUCUUAUUUGCUUCCUGCCAAUCCAUAAUCUGUUUAGAGCUCAUCUCGAACAUGUACUCGAGUCAGUUUCAUUCUCUUGCAAGACUUUCCAGUUCCUUGCAAACCAAACUCCUGCUAAAACCUUAUCAAUGCCGAUCAAAUUAUUCGUUGACUCUGAUAUGCUGCGCCUGCACAUUCUACCUCCCGCAUAUCUAACUCAAUUUUCUGAAAUGUUUCAGAUUGCGCGAGUUAGUAGUACAUGACAAACGUACAGCAUUCGGUUUAAUCGUUUCUUUUCUGUGGGCUCCUUGUGUUUGUAAAAUGACAGCUUAUUUAAAAGCUAAAUAAAUUUCUCCAGAAAGUUCUAUUCAAACUCGCAAACCGCAGAGACAGCUAAUUAAAUCAUAACUAAAUGAUAACACUACAAGAAAACAGUCAAUAGACAUCGGUUUUUGAUGUGGCAUAUAAUAGUACUUUUGAUGAUGUGGCAUGACAUGGACCGGCACUCUCGUUAGCACCCCCAUUGGAGAUGUUGGAGUGCUAUUGGGGUGCCAAGUGAGUUGGCUUUGGGGUGCCAAAAGUUGGCAACCCAUAAAGUAGGGUGCCAACUUCUUUUGUAGUCCCAAUAAUACAUAAAAUAUAGAUUUGUGGUCCCAAUAAUACAUAGAAUAUUAUCUCUAUUAAUAAAGUUGGCAUUUUGGAGUGCCAACCAUUGUAGUGUAUUUUGAAAUAAGGGUGCUAGAAAUGAUUUGGAAGAAUGAGAAUAUAAAAAAUAAUAUUUUGAGUUAUGUGUCAAAAUUGACACCCAUCGAAGGGUGCCAACCAUCGGAGAUGCUCUAAUUAAGACACCAUAUGGUUGGGCUUUUAACACACUUGUCCGGCUUGCUGCCUUCACCCAACAAACUGACCUAUUUAUCACGCAUCACAAUUCGAAUGCAAUCUAGACAUCAUAUUUUUCUUAUUUGCUUCCUGCCAAUCCAUAAUCUGUUUAGAGCUCAUCUCGAACAUGUACUCGAGUCAGUUUCAUUCUCUUGCAAGACUUUCCAGUUCCUUGCAAACCAAACUCCUGCUAAAACCUUAUCAAUGCCGAUCAAAUUAUCCGUUGACUCUGAUAUGCUGCGCCUGCACAUUCUACCUCCCGCAUAUCUAACUCAAUUUUCUGAAAUGUUUCAGAUUGCGCGAGUUAGUAGUACAUGACAAACGUACAGCAUUCGGUUUAAUCGUUUCUUUUCUGUGGGCUCCUUGUGUUUGUAAAAUGACAGCUUAUUUAAAAGCUAAAUAAAUUUCUCCAGAAAGUUCUAUUCAAACUCGCAAACCGCAGAGACAGCUAAUUAAAUCAUAACUAAAUGAUAACACUACAAGAAAACAGUCAAUAGACAUCGGUUUUUAACCGAUGUCUAUGUUCUUUCCGGACCGAUGUCUUUGUCGGUGAUGUCUAUAUAUAGACAUCGGUCAAAAACCGAUGUCUGAAAUAAGAUAUGUGUGAGAGAAGACGUACCCACUUCGAUUCAAACUUACCAAGCUGAGUAGAGAGUAGAGAACACCGGAGAUAGGUGAUGAGUGGUGGUGAGCGGAGCGGCAGUGAUGAGUGAGCAGUAGUGUUGAGCGGAGCGGUGGUGAGCGGUGGUGAGCGGGCUGAGUGGGUGGUGAGCGGUGGUGAGUGGGUGGGCUGAGUGAGAGAGAUGGUCGAGAGAUCAGAGAGAUAGUCGAGAGAGAGAGGUCGAGUGAGAGAGAGAGUCGAGUGAGAGAGUUUGUAAGAAAUGUUGUAGUUAUUUUAGUUAUUAGUUUAGAUUUUUGAUUUUAAUUUUAUGUUAAAUAUGUCUGAAGAGAAGGAGAGAAGCCUAAAAUGUUCUAAGGCGGAGGAAUAUUUGGUUCUAACGCGGGGUUUUUUUGACUAAGGAGGGGAGAGAGGGAUGGCCGUGUGUUUUGAAUUUUUUUAAUGAUAUUUUAGACAUCGGUUUAAAUUUAAUUGAUGUCUUAAAAUGCUAAAGACAUCGCCUCUAGAAUGGGUGAUGUUAAAAACAUUUUUAACAUCGGCGGCAAAUCUGACCGAUGUCUGACCUAUGAUGUCUAUUAACAAGUUUCUUGUAGUGUAAAAACACAUAUUUCGCGCCAUUUUAUUAUUCCUUCCAAUUAUUUCACAUAAUUUAUGAUGUUUAAAUAUCUAAUUUUAAUUGUUAUGUCAAAAAAAAAUCUCAACAAAAAUAUAAACUAUACACUUUUGUUGAUUUACGAAAUGGAAAAUUUAAAUAUAUUUAAAUAUUUUAAAUUACAUGGAAAAAUUCGAAUAAGAUGUAAAGGGAGGGGAGCACUAUUUUGCGACUGAUAGAUGGAAUUGCAUGCUUAUAUUACAUAACCUUCCCUACUCAAGUUUCAAAUUGUUAUUGUUUAAAAAAAAGUAGGGUUUUGGAAACCCCCCCAAAUUCUACAUCCUUUUUAAUUAAUUGCUGAACAAAUUUUGCGAAUUUCACCGGCACUCCCCGUCUUCACUCCAACAUUCAUCAUUUUGAUCAUGGCCUUUCCAAACUCAACAUUCAGAGUCAGUCCAGCCAAUCCUCUAAUACCCAUAAAUCUCUGUGCAUCUCGUACAUUUUUGAAGAACGAACGAUCAAAAUUGUCGCCACUUCCAUAAUCUAACGGGAUUCGUUUGUUUCCAUCACCAUUUUGCGGGCAAAGAGAUUGGAGUGUAGGAAGGAAUUUGGAAUUGAUUGUUGGAUCCGCACCGCUAGUAUUUUUGAAGUUGUAUAGUCUGUAACUUACGAAUUGGCAUGCAACGGUUCCAAUAGUGUGUCCUCCUGCAAUGCAUGUGAAUAUACGUGUGAGAUUAAUUCAAUAUAAAUUAUGCAUGCAUGUCAUGAGAAUAUAAAAUUUAGUAUCUCUUACCAACAAGAGUGACAAGAUCUUGAGCGCUGAGACCUACGUCUGAGAAUUUCUUCCUCUGAACAGUGACUGAGUCCGUGAAACUCGGCAAAUUGGAGGUAUCAGAUGCUAAUUAAGUCACAAUACCCACAAUAUCAGACCUAAUUGAGUCACAAUACCCACAAUAUCAGACCUAAAUAAGUCACAAUACCAACAAAUUCACUACUAAUCCUACACAGACAUAUAAACAAAUAUACAAAAAAGCCCUAAUUUGCUCUAAAUUUUCAACAUGCAAACAGAAUCUACCUUCUAACAUACAUAUACAUAUAAAAAGAUUUGGGGGUUUUACCUCAAAUCGAAGCUCUAAUUCACUCCUCUAGACGUUUUCAAAGCAGACGAGAAAGAGAGAUGAACCGCAGAGGUGAGCGAGAGAGAUCAGCCACAGAGUUGAGCCAGCGAGAGAGAUGAGCCACAGAGUUGAGUGAGAGAGGUGAGUGAGAGCGAUGAGCGAGAGAGAGAUGCGCGCGAGAGAGUUAGUGGUGGAGAGAGAUAGUGUGAGAGAGAGUUGAGGAUACUGUAAUAGAAUUUUUGUGUAAUAAAAUUUAUGUGUAAUAAAAUUUUGGUACCAAAAUUUCAUAUCCCGCCAUUAAACUUGAAGCCCCCGCCUAUUUUUCAGCCAAAUUGUAAACUAUGUAUUGUAACGUUUUUAAAAGUAUUGCGUUUGGUCUAAAUUUUGUUUUUGACAAGUUCGUUCGUAACACUUUUCUAUUUUAUACAACACUUUGCAAAAUAUUACAAUAGAGUAGCAAAUUUUUUAUCUAUUGCAACAUUUUAUGCAACACAAAUGUAUGUGAAAAAGUAUAUGAGGGGCAAACUAAAACCAAUUGUGAAAUAUAAUUCCCGACAAAAAUAUAAGAAUAUAACAUCUUAUUCAAUAAUAAGAAUAUUAGAAGUUUGAUAAAAAAAAGAAUAUUAGAAGUUAUAAUGUCUAACCAAAGCAAUAACUUUGGUUAGACACACAAUACUAAAAAAAUCACAACACAUACUAAUCUUUUCUCACGAGAAACAAACAUACAUAAACAAAAAAAUUUAAACUUUUUGUUAGGAAAAGAAUAAAACCUUCUCUUUAAGAAAUUUAUUUUAUUAAAAUUUAAAUAAUAUAUAUAUCACAAUCAACAUUAAUUUAUUUUUAAUAAUCCAAUUAAUCAACAAAGAGUCAUCAUAGCAUCACAAAGUAUAAGAAUUAAUAGAUUCUAAUUAUUAAUCAAAGAACAAAAUUUUCCGCACAAAUUCGUCUGGGACAAUAAUCAUGCCAACCCAUAAUGGUCCAAAAUAUAUGCCACCAAUUAUGGCCAUCAAAAAAUGGUACAAUCUCCUUGAACAAUAUCAAGACGUAAAUAAGAGCCAUCAAUUAUGGCACACAAUAAUAUCUCAUUAAUAAUNGAAGUCCANCUUACCAAACACAUAUUUUAAAAACAUGAGUACGAUCAAUUAAACUCUAUAUAUUUAAAUAUAAAAACACAAUUACACAAAUAUUUAAUUCUUUCUGAUGUAUAACUGAAGAAUUUAUUUUCUUCCUAUCCAAAAUUCUUGCACACUAAAAUAUAUACAUGUAUAACAUAUAAAAUUAUACCAUAAUUAAAAUCAAUCGAUAUUCAAAUCAUAACAAAUCAAUAAUCUAUUCGUACAUGCAACUAAAAACAAUUUAAAAAACUAAAAUUUUAAAUAUAGAAGAUCAAACACACACUAAACACAUCUAUCAAUCGAGAACUACCAAGAACACAAAGAACACGUAUACAAAAAACACAUAUAAAAAAUUAAAACGAACCCCGAAUUCCAUCAAUACUAUGACCGGCCACAACAAAUCCGGCGAAGACAAAACAUGUUUGAAAAAUCUAGGCCACCAAACUCAACAAAAUUCACAACCUAAUCCGAACAAAUUCCAACGAAGUUACAAAUGAAUUCGAUCACCGAAAAAACCAACAAAACAAACCAAAAACACACGAGAAACAUCAAGAAAAGAUCAAGAAAAGACGUACCUUUUAAAGAGACGGAGAGAAUUUGAUUACAAAUAAAUUAAAAGAAUGAUGUUACCGAUUUUAAAAUAAAACCCAUAAAUCACCAUCUCGAAUUCUACCGAGAAAGAAGAUUGGAUUCUAAACGACACAACCGGGCAACAGACAAUGAAAAUUGGAAUUCAGAUUUCUUCCUUUCAGAGUCACUGCGAGGCAUAUUCGGAGGCCAUCAACGUUAGCCAAAGGGCCUCCCUUUGGUUAGAUAUAUUUUUUUAUUUUCCUUUUAUUUAUCUUCUUUGUUGAUAAAUUAUAUUGGAUUUAUCUUAUUUUGAGAAUCUAUACUGAAUUUAAUAUAAUUAAAUUUAUUAUUAUUAUUUUCUUGUUAUUAAUGGAUUGUAUUUAUUUCCGUGAUCUUAUAAGUUGGAGCGUUUUCUUUUCUUCUGGAGACAUUUUCACGCUUUUCGAUUAGAUAAUAAGCUUUUUGAAUGAAUGAAACUCUUGGGAGUAUCGGUGUAUUCAGUUACGGACAAGUGCUUUUGUGUCAAAGAAAAAAAAAAGAAAAAGAAAGCGCUCUGCUAGGUUAUUUUUGCGAAUGAAGGGAUGAGUUUCUUUAUUACAAGAUUGUCGAUUUGUCAUGCAAAACUUGUAGGGAAAACUUUACAACCUUGGGAAAAUCACUUGAAACCCCUCUCUCACUCAUUUUAAUAACUUAUUGAGUCUCUAUUUGCAACUUAUGUGAUUUAAUUAUACAAUACGUAGAAUAAAUAUUUAUUUUAUUUAUAAUACUUAAAUACACUGUUAAUAUAUUUAACAAAAUAAGUUAAAAUGUAAAGACGACGUAAAAAUCAAAAAUACCCGGGGAUCGUGCAUGGAACUAAUUUAAAGCUAGCUAAGAUCUUUUGAGGACAGCAAUUUUUAACAUCUUUAAUUAACCUUCAGUAUCGUGUCACAAUUCAUAAACCAAUUUUAAAUUAUUUUUCUAGAUCAAUGCAGUCAAUUAUGUAUCUUCCAGAAGUUGGUCAUAAGCUACUUCUCAUUUUGUUCUAUUGAGGCGAACCAUAUAUUGAGAUUGAUCAGAUUAAAGUGAAAGUCGAGUUAUAUACUAAUUUUAAAUUAUUUUUAUCUUGAAAUUGAUCGGAUUAAUACAUAAACUCCAUCCAUUAUGGUUCAGUCAUUAAUCAUUUAAGUAAAUUAAAAACGAAAAUAAAUAAGAUAACACCAUUAACGCAUUUUUACUAUGAGCAGCAAAAUACAGAUUAUUAUAGCACUUGGUAAUACAAAUGUAACAUGGAAUUUAUUCUCUGCCUGCAAGUCGCAGUAACCCUAGCUAACAGAUCAACUAUGAUACCAUGAUGCAGGCUAAUAAUUAACGCGGCAAGAGUCUCUAAUUUGGUGGUCUUCUUCGGCCACCAGAACCAGUCUCUCUCUGGCAAUUAAAAUAGAGGGCAGCUACCGGCGAACCCAGAUUGUAUUGUUCUGCAAAGUCUCGGGUGUUGAAGUUCUCGCGCCUUGGUGGAGCGGAGACUGUCUGUCGUCCCAGUUGUUUGAACAACACGAAAACGAAUCUGUGGAUUCCACUCGACGGUCUUGGACUCUUGUAGAACAUCAUCUCAUGGCCUAUUAAUCAAAUUAGCUCAUCAAUCUCGCUUCAUGUUGAAGAUAUUGGUAAUUUAAAUUUAACUAAAAUGCAUGGAAAAAUCACCCCAAGGCAUGAUUAUAACAAAUGCUAAGUUUACGGAUCAACUGAUAUCUUACGAGAAACAUGUCAAGCCUUUUUCUAAAGAUCAUAUAAUACCGUAUAUCUUAACUGCAAACGAGUACAUCCAAAUUUCACAAGUUUAUACAAUAAGGGAUGCCUAAGGAAUAGCUGGUUAGAAUAGUUUAGAGAACAGAGGAGGAAAAGAGGAGUUUAAAGUUCAGUGCUCACCAAAAUGUGCUCCAGUUGUAGCAGGAAUGUCAGUGACCAACCUAAAUCAGGGGCAUAGAGAAGAAUUCUACAUGUUAGGAAGAAUUUACAUAACCAAGCUGGAGUGAAGAGCAUUCUAGUUAACAAUACAAUAUGAUCCUAUGAUCCUACCGGGCAUAUUCAAUCAGAAAUUAGAUAAAUUUAUUAGUUACGUCGAAUACAAAUAACCUGUUGAAUACAAAUCACUGUUGGAGAUGUUAAAUAUUAUCCAUCACGUCGAAUAUGUAAAUUUUAUUAAAAAUCGAGUAAUAAGUGCGACGGCAAAUACAUCAUUUUAUCAUCCACAUUGAUCAUUCUUUCUUUAAAAGAAAAAACGCAUGAAUUUUGUUUUUGUAAUUGACCAUUAAUCGAUUCAAAAUUAUAAUAUUUAAAUCCUCGACUUCCCAUUAGAGAUGCAAGAACGAUAUCGCUAGAGCAAGUGAUUGUGUUGUAGCACGUAAGCUACAUAAAUCCAGUGACAUGGGUUUCAGUUUUUCAAAUUAGUAAUACUUUUUUCAUGUGUUGGAACUUGGAAGGACUUAUGUGGAGAUUGAGAUGUCAAGCAGAGCUUUUACUUUAAAUGCCCAUACCAUACUGUACUAUUAAUUCAUCACACUGUACGUUGAGAAUUUGAAAUGAUUUUUUUCUAUUUGUUAAGAAUUAGGAGUACUUAGGAAAAUUGUAAAGGAUUAAUCGUACUUACCAGUGUAAGUAUUCUCUCAAACUUGGAUCACUUGGACUGGGAGCAUCAGGAUCCACCAUAACCUGCAGUCAGAUUUAAUGAUACAACUUAGCAUGUUUGUAUAAUGAUAAUAAUAUGCAUAGCUUUAUGUGAUGUGUGUGUUUGAGGAUAUGAAGUUGUGUGUGUGAGGGAUGAGAAGAAGAUAUAAAGUAGUAUGCUGGGUAAGUGUGUGGGGGAGUGAGCUACACGAGAAGACCAAGUAGAAAAAUGCAUGAGAGAGAGAGGGGCAUACGAGAGAGAGAUAGAGAGAGAGGGCCAGAGAGGGAGAGAGGNNNNNNNNNNNNNNNNNNNNNNNNNNNNNNNNNNNNNNNNNNNNNNNNNNNNNNNNNNNNNNNNNNNNNNNNNNNNNNNNNNNNNNNNNNNNNNNNNNNNNNNNNNNNNNNNNNNNNNNNNNNNNNNNNNNNNNNNNNNNNNNNNNNNNNNNNNNNNNNNNNNNNNNNNNNNNNNNNNNNNNNNNNNNNNNNNNNNNNNNNNNNNNNNNNNNNNNNNNNNNNNNNNNNNNNNNNNNNNNNNNNNNNNNNNNNNNNNNNNNNNNNNNNNNNNNNNNNNNNNNNNNNNNNNNNNNNNNNNNNNNNNNNNNNNNNNNNNNNNNNNNNNNNNNNNNNNNNNNNNNNNNNNNNNNNNNNNNNNNNNNNNNNNNNNNNNNNNNNNNNNNNNNNNNNNNNNNNNNNNNNNNNNNNNNNNNNNNNNNNNNNNNNNNNNNNNNNNNNNNNNNNNNNNNNNNNNNNNNNNNNNNNNNNNNNNNNNNNNNNNNNNNNNNNNNNNNNNNNNNNNNNNNNNNNNNNNNNNNNNNNNNNNNNNNNNNNNNNNNNNNNNNNNNNNNNNNNNNNNNNNNNNNNNNNNNNNNNNNNNNNNNNNNNNNNNNNNNNNNNNNNNNNNNNNNNNNNNNNNNNNNNNNNNNNNNNNNNNNNNNNNNNNNNNNNNNNNNNNNNNNNNNNNNNNNNNNNNNNNNNNNNNNNNNNNNNNNNNNNNNNNNNNNNNNNNNNNNNNNNNNNNNNNNNNNNNNNNNNNNNNNNNNNNNNNNNNNNNNNNNNNNNNNNNNNNNNNNNNNNNNNNNNNNNNNNACUUAUAUACUGCUCUGAGUGCUACAUGGCAAUGGUCCCGGCCCACGUGGGACUUAUACCUAUGUAUAUCUCAAACUGAUAGUAUAUAUAUUUAUUAUUUGCACCCAUUUAGUGAUAUUUUUAAAAUAUAAUUUCAUUAUAUUUUUUUAAAAUUUUACAUCAAAUAUUAUUAUAAAAAGAAAAUUUUAGGAAAAUAUCAUGAAAUUAUAUUCUAAAAACAUGUCGGAAUAAAUUAUUACCAAAUAUUCCCUCUUAGCAAUUGUCGUGUCCCCCAUCCAUUUACACCAUGCAAUGAUAUAAAUAGCAGGACAGUUAUACUGUCAAAAUGAUAUUUUUAUAUAGAAAAAAUGUGUUUAAAUUUGUUAUCUUUAAACUUUACUUAUAGUUAUCAAGUAUUUGUUAUUUAAUGGCAAGUUAUUUAAUUAGUAAAGAUAAUAUUUUUUGUUAGAAUUCUUUCUUUUAAAAUGAGUUUAGAUUACUAAUAAUACAGGAAGCUACACACUAACAUUAAUGCUAAAAACACAUCAAAUAUGUGUACUACUGUAGGCUGUGUAGGGGUAUAUAUAUUUCGACACAAAAAUAUGUUCAAUUAAUUUAAAUGUUAAUGAAUUAUUAUUCAUUAUUUAACUAAAACUAAAUAAACUCUAAGAAAAAUUUAAUAUAUAUUUGUAAAACUAAACUCUAUUUUCUUUGAAAAUAAGAUAAGACCUGCAUGCAGUCUAUCAAAUAUUUCUAAACAAGUGGAUUAAUUAAUGUUAAUUAGUAUAUUAAUGUUAAUUAGUACAUGCACAGCAGGACGAAACUAUGUAGGGGCCAGAAGGGGCCAUGGCCCCCCCUAGGGUUUCCGUAAUACUAUAAUUUGUAUUACUCCCUCCGUCCCUUUUUAUCUGUCCAUUUUGGGAAAAAAAACACAUACCAAGGAAUAAUUGAUUGUAUAAACUUUUUCAUUAAAUACCUCUAAUUAAUAUCUUGAAAAUGGUGGAAUACCCCUACUUUAUGUCUUGAAAACAUGAAUUCAACCAAGUUUUAAAUAAGUCAAGCCUUGAAAAUUGAAAUUAUGGAGAUAUAUUUGAAAAACUAUCAUUAAAUUAGUUUUGAAAGUAUAAAUAGACAGAUAAAUAGGGACAAAUAUUUACUUCCAAAGUGGACGGAUAAAUAGGGACGGAGGGAGUAUAUAAUUUUGAAAAAAAUUAUAUUUUCUUUUUAUAUUUAUAUAAAUAUAAAAAUUUGGCCCCCAAAAAAAUAUUUGUUCACUCUUAAGAGAUAAUUAACAUUAUAAGAUGAAGUGUUAAUUUUUAGAUUUCUCUAAUUUAUGUAUUAGACCAAAUUUAUGAAUAAAAAUAAACAAAUAUAUAUAUACCGACCCAGUCCCGCCCGCUGCCUACUGAAUCCAGUCAUCGUCCAAAAAGCAGUAGCAAACUACUACCAGGUCGUCCUCCCGUCAGCUUUGUUUCCAUACAUAUUUAUGCAAUCAAAUUCACCAUCCUCCAACCCCUUUUCACAACCCUCCACCAUUCCAAUCCCCACUCUCUUCUCCUCCCAGCAAACCCCAAGCUCUUACCUCAUCAAGAAAUGCAUAGCUCUCCUCCUCUCUUGCGCUUCUUCAACCCCCAAGCUCCGCCAAGUCCACGCCUUCUCCAUCCGACAUGGCCUCCCUCUCACCAACCCAGAUAUGGGCAAGCACCUCAUCNNNNNNNNNNNNNNNNNNNNNNNNNNNNNNNNNNNNNNNNNNNNNNNNNNNNNNNNNNNNNNNNNNNNNNNNNNNNNNNNNNNNNNNNNNNNNNNNNNNNNNNNNNNNNNNNNNNNNNNNNUAUUAAUGCAUGUGCAGGGGGUCCAUUCCAAUCACAAGUUAACACAUGCUCAUUUUGUAAAUGUUUCUGUACUCAAUUUUGUGCAUGUAGCAUUUUCCAUAUUUGUCACGUAAGAGACCACAGUUGACAAGUACUUUUGCCAAGUGUUUAUAACGUGUGAAAUUCAACUUUCAACGUAAAGUUAUAUUUCCAAAGUCAAUUGUAAUUCACAUAUUUCUCAUUCCAAUCACAAGUUAACGCAUGCUCAUUUUGUAAAUGUUUCUGUACUCAAUUUUGUGCAUCUAGCAUUUUCCAUAUUUGUCACGUAAGAGACCACAGUUGACAAGUACUUUUGCCAAGAGUUUAUAACGUGUGAAAUUCAACUUUCAAUGUAAUGUUAUAUUUCCAAAUUCAAUUCUAAUUCACAUAUUUCUCAUUUAUAUCUUCUAGAUCAAAACCUCAUUUCACAUAAUAUGAUCAUUUAAUAUAAUUAAUUUAUAAACAUUCACUUUUCUUAAACUAUAUGAUUUUUUGAAAGUGGAUGUAAUUUGAAAGGGAGGGAGCAAUUAGCAACCCAAAUAUGAUCAAUUGAAUAUGAUAAAUUUGUGUUGAAAGUACAAAAGGACAUAUAAUUGGGACGAUUUUUUUUCUUAAAAAAGACAUAUAUAUAAAAUGAGACAGACAAAGUACUUUGUUUUAACUAAAUUAAAAAAAUAUCCUUAACCUCGAUGUUACGUCAUAUGUACAUAUCUCUUUGACACAUGAGACUAGUCUUAUAUCUAAAUUCUUGAUUUCAAUAAGUAUACUUAUAACCGUAUUUCUAAUAAUGUGCUCAUUGGGGCACCAAUAAACACAAAACUUUGAUAAAUUUCUUUUAUUUUAUUAACUUAUAUUAUUUAAUAAUUAUAAACUCCUACAUUUAUAACAACCACACCACUGAAAAUUAUUCAAUAUCACAUAUUUUAAUGAUGAUUAAUAAUGGUGGACCUCUGCAUUUAACCGACGCCAGAGAUUAUUUGCGUCGCUAGAUUAAUCGACGCUAUAGGCCUAUACUUAUACCGUCUCCCAGAUUUGUUACACCAUUUAACCGACGUCUUAGAGAUUAUUUGACCGAUGCUGAAAGUCCAAUGGUGUUAGCAUGUGUCCAUGAACACCGCAUAAAUCCUAUUUAUAAUGCAGAAAUCAGAUACGUGUCAAGUUAAGAACACUAUAUAAUACUUUUGUCACGGUGUAUAAAUUUCUUUAGUGGGACCCACGAGCCUGUUGAGUGGAAGAAGAAAGAAGGAAAAAGCAUAGAGAAUCUGAGUGGAUGAAAAUCUUUCCUUGCUUUACAACAUCAUUGGAUGGGCAAAAACUUACUACAUUUAGUAAGUAUUCGCUUUGGAGCUAUGCUAGUCAUACAAAUCUUUUUAUGAAGACCAGACACAAGUACACAACCUUAUCUUAUACUAUGUGGGACCCAUUUCUUAUAGCAUAAAUUAUCAUUUGAAAGAGAUGCUAGAAAUUGUUAUAACUUCUUUGUUCAAUACGAAUCGCCUCAACUGCCCUGUCUCUUGAGCAUCUACACGUCUACUUUGUAUAUGGGGUUGGAGAUCCAUGUUCAACUGAAGUCAAGGACUCAACUCAACUAGCAGCCUAUUUCUGGUGGACUGUUCUCCAAUAUCUUUAAAGAUUUAUUCACUCUACUUUUAUUCAAUAUAUAUAAUAAUAUAUUCUAUUCGUUCUUAUUGUCAGCCAUUUUUCAAUAUUUUCUUAGAAUUUGUUCUUAGAUUUUAUUUGGAAGAACUAAAAGAAAGAAGAUACAAAGGAAGUAUAGGUUAUUUAUACUAUAAUAAUAUUUUCUUUCCAUUUGUCUCUCUCAUUUCUUUAUAGUUUAUUUACAUGCACUUGUUUAAAUUGUUAUAAAAUUUAGUUUUAUAAUUUAUUUUUAAUUGCUAUUAAUAAAACUUUAAAUAUUAAAUUAUCAAUCACUAGAUUUACACGUUGCACCUGAUAAGUUUGAGCUUUUUUCGAUUUGGUCUUAAAUAAAAUUUCUUGUCAAUAUGCACUCUAAUGUUUAAAAAGCACUUUGAUAUGCACCUCCUUACCAUGUUUCGUCAAGUUGACUGUUAAAAUUAACGGCUGUAGAGGUAAAACACUAAUUUUGUAUAAGAGAAUCAGUAGAAGGAACUCUAUAAAAUUAUUAUUUUAACGGCUGUAGAGGUAAAACACUAAUUUUGUAUAAGAGAAUCAGUAGAAGGAACUCUAUAAAAUUAUUAUUUUACCCCUCCAGCCGUUAAUUUUAACAGUCAACUUGACAGAAAAUGGUUAAAAGGGGCGAAUACCGAAGCGCAUUUUAAACACUAGGGUUCGUAUUGACAUGAAAUUUUGUUUGAGACCAAAUCGAAAAGGCGCUUAAACUUAUGAGAUGAAAAAUGUAAAUUACUCUUUAUAAAAUUAUAUUUUAUAGGAGAAAUAAAAUGUGUCAAUGCCUCUGCCCCCAACAAGCAUUUUACAAAAGCAAAAAAUUAAUUUAUUUUAUAACAUUAUUGUGUUUUCCUUUUUUUAUUAAAAUGAUUCGUAACUUUGGAAUAAUAUUUAUAAAUUAAAUCACUUAUCAGAAAUAUAAAUUUAAAAUUUAGUAAUUAAAGUAUCUGGUUGCAAAUAGAUCGCUGGUUAAAUUAAACAUAACCUUAAACAAUUUCAAAUGCAAAAAAUCUANUAUGAUUCGUAACUUUGGAAUAAUAUUUAUAAAUUAAAUCACUUAUCAGAAAUAUAAAUUUAAAAUUUAGUAAUUAAAGUAUCUGGUUGCAAAUAGAUCGCUGGUUAAAUUAAACAUAACCUUAAACAAUUUCAAAUGCAAAAAAUCUAUACUAAACCAUAAUAAGGCAACAUGGCUAUAAUUUGUAAUCCAACCUUUUAGUUAUAAUUAUUGGUUUGGUACUAUCCCCUGCAAUUACAAGUCUGCCACACAUACUAUAACAAGCCAAUAUAAAAAUAAUUUGUAGUCCAACUUUUUAAUUAUAAUUUUUGGUUUGGUAUUAUCCUGCAUUCCUGCAACUAUAAGUUGCCACACGUAAAGGUCUAUUACUCUUAGAGUGUCAAAUACUAAAAACACUCAUGAUAAUGGAUUAUAAUAUAAUAUUUCAUAACAAAAUUAUAAUGAUGUUAAAAAUAAAAUUAUAAAUAUAUAAUUUUAAAGUCUAUUACGGGUAGAGGUCUAUUACUCUUACAUUGUUAAAAAGUUUCAGAUACUGAAAACAAUCAUGAUAAUAUAUUAUCAUAAAUAUAUAAUUUUAAAGUCUACCACACAUAGAGGUCUAUUACUCAUACAUUGUUAAACAGUUUCAAAUACUAAAAACACUCAUGAUAAUGUAUUAUCAUAUAAUAUUUCAUAAAAAUAUUAUAAUGAUGUUUAAAAUAUAAUUAUAAAUUUAUAAUUUUAAAUAUAAUCCAUUGGCCAAUAUAAUUUAAUUAAAAUUCAAUUCAUUAAUAUUAAAAUACUAAUAAAAUAAUGUUAAAAUUUUAAUUUUAAAUAAUCAAUUACGAACUAUAUUACCCCGUGCUUCGCACAGGUUAAAGACUAGUAUUUUUAAAAACCGAUAACAUAAAAUAAUUAAAAAAACAAUAUUUUUGAUUAUUUUUUUAAAAUGACCACAGCCAAGAGCAACCAGGCCCAUUUUAAAAACCCAAAACUGUGUCAUCUAAGCAAAUAAAAUCGUACAUAAUUUGUUAUGGACUCCAUGGUCAAACUUGGGAGCCCAAGUCGCUUUUAAUCCUGAAUCCAGUUGUUUGUCAAGCAUUCUAUCGUCAAUUUUUCAAAAUUUAAAUUUCUUUGUCGCAUGGAAAGACCGACAAACAAGUACAUAAUUCCUGAGAAUAAAUAUUCUAAACGAUAUAGUACAAAAAUGUGUUGCAGGAGGACACACUAUUGGAACGUCCAUUUUUGUUCCAAACCUAAUCUAUUGACUAAAUAAUCUACUCCGUUAUACCUUGCUCGACUUCAGUAACUCAGUCUUUCAGUCCCUUCAACCAGAUUCAAUUUCAAUAAUUUAUUUUAAUAGUAAUAAAACUCCUCUCUGAUAAAAUUUUAGAUCCGCCACUAAAGACAAAAAAGUCUUCCACAUGUUAAUCGUAGCUUAGAUGUGUAGAUAUAUUGUCAACCGUAAACUUCACCACGAUUAUACUUUUUGUCGAGUCACAGCUUAAAAAAGUUGAUGCCUAGUCAAAGCAAUAAACACAAGGUGCACUCACGAAUACUCUCUCCAUCCCAAUUUAAAUGAGCUUUUUACUCAUUUCACCCAUAUUAAAGAGUAUUAAAUGAUUGUUAUUUUUUCCGACUCUACCCAUAUUUAUUGGGUUGACUUUCUAUUGUAUUAGCUUCAUUGUACAUUAAAAUGAUAAAUAAGAAAAGAUAAGAGUGGAAUAUUGUUGAUAAAUUUGCAUUGAAAAGGGAGAGACUCAACAAUUUUAAUUAGGAUAUAUUUUUUUCUCAAAAGGAUCAUCUAGUUUGGGAUGUAGGGAGUAUACAGUAUACAACACUCCAAUCCGUCACCUACGCGGCAGCCCCGCCACUAUUCGAUCCCUCGCUUACCUUUAAAUAUUUAUAGUGAUCAGAAUAAAAUCGCUCGAUCAAUAUAAAAUAGUUAUCCCUGUCUCAUCACUUGUAUACGUAUAAAAUAUAAUAAUUUCAUAAUAUAUUUCUAAAAAUUUAAUAAAAAUUUGAUGUUUAAACUCAUUAAAAAUUAAAAAAAAACUUAUUAUAAAACUGUAAUUUAUUGGAGUCUCUAAAUGUGUGCAAAUAGUGAAAGUAUACAUCAAAAUAGAGGGACGAGUAUAAUAGUUUGCACUCACAUUCCGUAAAUAAAUCGAGCAUGUACAAAUUACUCGUUUUCAUCCUAUUUAAAUGAAAUAGGAUGAAAACGAGUAAUUUGAUGUUCACUCUAAAUGAAAUGAGGAUGAUAAUUAAAUAAAAAUUACAAAAAUACUGAGAAAAAGAAAAAUAUUUAAAAUAAAAGUAAUUUAGUUUGAAUGAAUUAACUUUUAUGUGAUCAUGUUGGAAUAAUAGUACAAGAAGUAAAAUUUUAAUUAUAAGUACAUGAUUAGAUCUCUAACUAAAGAUAAUCUGAACUAAAAUGAUAAAAGAAAUGGAAAUUAUAAAUAUGGCCCAGCAAGCAAAGUAUAAAUUGUAUUUCAUUAAGUGACCAUUCCUAAUAUAAAAAUAUAUAUAUAUUGUACAUGAAAAACAUCUGUUUCUUAGUUCUUGAAGACGCUUUAUACUCUUUAUAUAUAACUCAAACAAUACGUGUUUGUUUGUAAAUGAACUUUCUUUGCUGUUCGUGGAAGCUUUUACAACUGCAGGCUUAUUUUGCAUCCGCCUACUCAAGUUUUCAUAACUCUAGAACUGGAAUAUCAAAGUUCGACUCUAAUUAACUCUUGAACAGACCUUUCGAAUUUCCCCGGCCGUCCCAGUGUUCACCCCAAUAUUCGUCAUUUUAAUCAUAGAUUUUCCGAAUUCGACGUUCAAAGUCAAUCCAGCCAAGCCUCUGAUACCCAUAAAUCUCUGCGCAAAGUUCCUCGUUGUACUGUCCUGCCACAAGCUCUGAUCUGACUCCAGAAUUCCCCGUCCAUCUCGAACAUUUUUGAAGAAAGAACGAUCAAAAUUGUUACCGCUCCCGUAGUCCAAAGCGAUACGUUUAUUUCCAUCGCCAUUUUUAGGGCAAAGCGAUUGGAGUGUAGGAAGGAACGAGGGAUCGAUGGUAGGAUCAGCACCCCCGGAGUUUGUGAAGUUGUAUAAUCUGUAGCUCACGAAUUGGCAAGCCACUGUUCCAAUAGUGUGUCCUCCUGCAACACAUUUUUGUACUAUAUGGUUUAGAAUGUUGCAUGCAUGCAGAUAGAAAAAUUUCGGAUGUCUGAUAAACGUAUGUAAUAUUGGCUUAUUGCUUACCAACAAGGGUAACAAGAUCUUGAGCGCUUAGACCAACAUCUGCAAAUUUUUUCUUCUGGACCGCGACUGAGUCUGUGAAACUCGGCAAAUUGGCGGUGUCGGACGCCAAUGACACUCGUCCGUCUCUCCGGCCAGUAGGCACGCGAUAAGUCAG
rnacentral:lncRNA from 1 species